rnacentral:rRNA from 1 species
UACGAAGGGGGCUAGCGUUGCUCGGAAUCACUGGGCGUAAAGCGCACGUAGGCGGAUUGUUAAGUCAGGGGUGAAAUCCUGGAGCUCAACUCCAGAACUGCCUUUGAUACUGGCGAUCUUGAGUCCGGGAGAGGUGAGUGGAACUGCGAGUGUAGAGGUGAAAUUCGUAGAUAUUCGCAAGAACACCAGUGGCGAAGGCGGACUCACUGGCCCGGUACUGACGCUGAGGUGCGAAAGCCGUGGGG